AAGACAAAAGUCAGUCAGCCUAGCCAAGGAGCUUGCCUAUGAACCAUGUAAAGACUAGAGAUGGGUCCUCACUCCUCAGGUAUUGAAGCCUUUGCAAGGACAUAGGCAAGUCAUCCUUGGCUACCAAACAGACCUUUACG
rfam:Nelumbo nucifera unplaced genomic scaffold scaffold00101, whole genome shotgun sequence